AGAGGGAUGUCCGAGCGGUUUAAGGUACAUGCUUGGAAAGCAUGUUGGCUGUCAAAGGCCACGGGGGUUCGAAUCCCCCUCCCUCUGCCA
rnacentral:tRNA from 1 species